rnacentral:rRNA from 1 species
CAGUCGCCGGGUAAUACGUAGGUGGCAAGCGUUGUCCGGAAUUAUUGGGCGUAAAGGGCUCGCAGGCGGUUUCUUAAGUCUGAUGUGAAAGCCCCCGGCUCAACCGGGGAGGGUCAUUGGAAACUGGGAAACUUGAGUGCAGAAGAGGAGAGUGGAAUUCCACGUGUAGCGGUGAAAUGCGUAGAGAUGUGGAGGAACACCAGUGGCGAAGGCGCCUCUCUGGUCUGUAACUGACGCUGAGGAGCGAAAGCGUGGGGAGCGAACAGGAUUAGAUACCCGUGUAGUCCCUGUCUCUUAUACC